rnacentral:rRNA from 1 species
AGAUUGAACGCUGGCGGCAGGCCUAACACAUGCAAGUCGAGCGGCAGCACGGGUACUUGUACCUGGUGGCGAGCGGCGGACGGGUGAGUAAUGCCUAGGAAUCUGCCUGAUAGUGGGGGGAUAACGUUCGGAAACGGACGCUAAUACCGCAUACGUCCUACGGGAGAAAGUGGGGGAUCUUCGGACCUCACGCUAUCAGAUGAGCCUAGGUCGGAUUAGCUAGUUGGUAGGGUAAAGGCCUACCAAGGCUACGAUCCGUAACUGGUCUGAGAGGAUGAUCAGUCACACUGGAACUGAGACACGGUCCAGACUCCUACGGGAGCAGCAGUGGGAAUAUUGGACAAUGGGCAAAGCCUGAUCCAGCCAUGCCGCGUGUGUGAAGAAGGUCUUCGGAUUGUAAAGCUAACGUUUAAGUUGGGAGGAAGGCAAUUAACCUAAUACGUUAGUGUUUUGACGUUACGACAGAAUAAGCACCGGCUAACUCUAGUGCCAGCAGCCGCGUAA